AAUAAUAAAACCCCCAAAGCACUAAUAAAGAAAGAAUGCUUCUUCUUUUUUUUUUUUUUUUUUUUUCUGAAUGAGGAAAUACCACGAAAAGAAGUCUUGACCCCAUAGUUUCUUAUUUGAACUGGUGAAUUCCUAAUUCAUUUGUGACCCAAAUAACUGAAUAAACAGUUUGAAAAGAUACCGUCAGAGAAGGAACUUCCACUUGAUAUGUUUUCUGUUUAGAAAACAGACUUUGCUACGAGCAGACGAGAGAGUUUAACUGGAAUCUGGUGGUGAUUCCAAGUGUUCAGGGUGCAUGGGAACGGGGGUCUCGAGUGCGGCCCUUGGCAAGGGGAUUACUCCCGCAAGUCCACACCGGGCUGCCCCCUUGCUUCUCAGGCCUCGGCGGCACAGCCUGGCCGUAUAGGAUUCCUCUGCUGAGCGCGUCCUGAGAAUGUGUCAUUUGGAAUUAACAUCAGCGGAGUCAAAGGGCAUGAGAAUGGACUUUCCAAUCCCUAAAGAAUGGUUUCCAGUUUCCCUAUGGAAUACAUGCUGCCGACUUGAAACGUGGACGCUGGAAACCCCAACACAAAAGGGCUGAAACGGGACUUAACGGGGUGUCGGUCUGUGGCUGUGAGUCACCUGGGGCGAGCGGUUGAGUGUGACACGGCCCCUGUGUGGUCUCGCCCACUGAUGUGGGGCUGGAAGGUGCCACGGUCCCUUCAGGCUCUGACAGCCUGUCCUGGGUCAUCAGGUGAGGCGAUCCUGUAAAUGAGCCUUAAGAGGCGCUGGUGGUCGCCCCCCCCCCGCCUCCUGCAGCCCAGCCUCCGCUCUGGCCCCUCCAUCGCCUGGCGGCCUCUAUUCUCGCGCCUGGCCUCUCAUGCCCUGACCACGCCUCGUAAAGAGGCUCAUCUCCAGGGAUGUUGUGACCAGGCGGGGAGAUGCGUUCUGCCUGUGUCCACGCUGCUGGCGACAGCAGACAGGGGAGGGUGGACCUGGGUGUGGGACGAGAGGUCCGGGCAGGAGGAGCCCGGGCAGGAGGAGCCCGGGCGGGGCUCGGGGUUAUAGGGCCCCACCCUCAUCCGUCGGGAGAGGGGAGCGCCUGGGAAGGUGAGGCUGAGAGCAGGCAGAACACAGGGGUGGAGGACGAGGGACGGUUCAGAGCAGCAGUCCUGACAGACACACAGCCGCCCUCCCACCCCGCCCCCAAGGGGAGCCUGCAGGCUGUGGACCCAGCCCUCUGAAGCUGGGGCACCAGCGCAUCACCCGCAUUCUGAUGUCAGAGCGACUCUGUGCCUCUCACCAGUACAACAGCAAUCGACGAACCCGGCAAACCCUCACCUACAUGGGGGGCAAGAUGAGGUUUUUUGCUGACUCACCACCCAGAAGCUGUAUGCCAUGUUUAAAGUCAAAAAGCACAAUUCUCUGAUGGGUAAAAGCUGCCUCUUCCAUAAACACAUUCCUUCCGACAGCAUUCAUCUUGCUCUCGCUCUAAAAAUGUGGCAGCGGGACAGAGCCCAGGGCUCCUUCUCUUUCUCAUUCAACGAGUAAAAAUAACCCCUGAGUUCUGGGCAGAGGAAAGGCCGCGGUGCCAGGAGUCCCAGAACCUUCCCUUUUCAAGUAGUGUCUGGAGCACCAGCCACGCCCGGCACUCAGGCCGCCUGGAAAGUUCACCAGCGCUGCCCCCGCGCCCCGGCGGCCGCUCUCAGGAGGGCUCCCCCAGCAGACCACCUGUUGUUAAGCCUCUUCUAUGCUCCACAUAGAAACCUUCCUUUUCACACAUGCUGGGCCUGCUAGGGUAACAGCCAAGAAUUCUAUUCAAAGCAGCCACGAGCAGGGCCUGCCCCUGAGCUUUCCUCUUGACCAUUUUUGGUGUUUUGCUGUAAGGGUUCGACAGUCAAGUUUUCCUAACGGAGAAUCAUGCAGAGGUACCCAAAGGUCUAUCUGGGGCUAAGCCAUCAACACGGAAGCUUUAAAAACCUCCCUGAGGCACCCGCAGUCCGACUGCAGGGAAGAGCCAGCAGAAGGGAAGACGCUGUCAACGCUCUGAAGCUCUGCCCUGAACACAUGCCGGCCGGUCCUGAGCCAGGUCCAGAGCAAAGCAAGGAGCAGGUGCAGGGGCCGCCGAGACCUGUGUGCGGGCCCCGUGUGCACAGCUGCUCGCCGCCUUCAAGGGCGGGGCCGCGGAGGAGGAAGCCGCAGGACCAAGUCUUCAAGGAGGACGUGCUGAUGCCACUGCCACGAGGCUACUUAUUUGGCCCUGUUACUCGCCCCUGAUCUCAUGGGCCGAGGUGCUUAGGAAAAACAGACUCAACAUCCCUAAAGCCUUCUAUACUUAGAACAGGUGCAGGACUGUCUGGGCGGCAGUUGGCCCCAAGUUCCUUUCCAGCUCACUGCCACCAAAAGCCAGGCUCGGUGCCACCCCUGAGCCCAGCGAGCGACUGCUGGCUGACAGGUGGCAAGUUUGGCCAAUAACUGGCUUCCCUAGAAGUGAACUGCUUCCCCAUUCGUUUCAGGAACUCUCCCGGUAUCGAGGAAUCGCUGUACCCAAAGCACAACGGCUGCCGAAGCUUCGCGAUUCCUCUUGAUGGACGGACUCGAGGUCCGGUUCUCAAGACCAAGAGUGGCUGAAUUUUUAACCAUCAGGAGGCUGACCUCUGAGGUUUUAAAAAUACCCUUUCUAGCAACACACCUGUGGGUAGGGAGGGUAUGGAGAUGGUCCAUUUAAGUGGGUCAGGCCUUUUGUUUUGUUUUGUUUUUAGGGCUGCACCUGAGGCAAAUGGAAGUUCCCAGCCUAGGGGUCUACACCACAGCCACAGCAAUGCCAGAUCCGAGCCACAUUUGCAACCUAUACCUCCGCUCGAGGCAACACUGGAUCCUUAACUCAUUGAGCCAGAGAGUGAACCCGAAUCCUCGUGGCAUCUAGUCAGGUUCGUUUCCACUGGGCCACAACAGGAACUCCCAUUCAAGUGAGUUUUCUGGAUAAAGAUUUACCCAUUUAAUGUCCAGCUUUGGGCUGCUUUCUGCACACACCUUUCUAAAAGCUCUUGAUCCAGACACCAACCUGGGUGGCCUUAAGUCAUCAUUUUGCAGUUACUCAGAUGCAUUUACUGUCUGCCCCAGAGCGUGACCCUCUAGGGGGCAAGAGUGUGCCUCCCCCCUCCCUUUUUUUUUGGCUUUUUGCCUUUUCUAGGGCCGCUUCCCGUGGCAUAUGGAGGAUCCCAGGCUAGGGGUCGAAUCAGAGCUGUAGCCACCGGCCUAUGCCAGAGCCACAGCAACGUGGGAUCCGAGCCACAUCUGCGACCUACGCCGAAGCUCACAGCAACGCCAGAUCCUUAACCCACUAAGCAAGGCCAGGGAUUGAACCUGCAACCUCAAGGUUCCUAGUCGGAUUCGUUAACCACUGCGCCACGACGGGAACGCCUGCCUCCUCUUUUUUGACUGGAGAACUCCUGCAUAGACAGGGUUCCACGUGGUUUGGAGCCCGGAUGGAGAAGCGGAGGAAGGCCAUCCCACACAGUGGCCGGUUGGCUGGUAAACGGCAUUUCUAACCUCCACACCAAAGCUGUGAAGCAAGCAUUUUCAUUUCCAUUUUUACAGAUGAAAAGGAGCUCAAAGAUAUUAAGGCACAUGUGUGGCGACGGCGAAGCUGACAUCGCAGGCACUUUAUUCCUGGACCACACCCUCUCCAGGGAACCGUGUUCUACAAGGAAGCACACCGGCGUCGCUCUUCCCACGAAGUGAACCCCGAAUCUCAUCUGCACUUGCAUCUCAGCCCCUUGGUGGUGGUGGUGGUGGUGGGGUGUUGUCCACCACAGACGGCAGGGCCCAGUCCCCAGACUUCAGAUCAGCAGGUCCCAGAAGAUGCUGAUACUCUGUUCCAGGGACCCCCCCGGGGGAUACGGAAUGUUAACUCAACAUCCUGGCAACACUUGGCUGAUCACAACCACAUCAUGAUGAGCCUCGCUGGGCUGGACUCAGCAGACACGGAGGCUGCAGCGUGGGAUGGCCCCAGCUUUCUAAGCCCUUUCAGUUUUUCACUUUAAAGAAUGUUUACCCUUUUUGUCCUUUGCUGUCAAGCUGUGAGCAUCCCUUCUCAUUUGCCUCCUGCGCUCCAUCUCUUUCUUUUGUCCUAAUUCCUUCUCACCCACUGUUUGUGGGAGCAGGGCAGCCUCGCUUGCCUUGGCCGCUCCAGCUCCUACCUUCCUCACAGGCCACUGCUCGGCGUCCACUGGCUGCUGGGGAACUCCUCCAGGAGCCCAGGUCAGGAAGGUGAAACGGGCCACGGUCCUCAAGUGCAAGCUGGGCAGAGAGGAAGGUGGGGGGAGCCGCGCUGGGAAGUCACCCACCUGCACUGAGGACGAUGCUCUCCAGAGCGGAAGGUGGUGGAUACGCUCCCCUGGGUCAAGGGAGGUGCUGGUUUGCACAGACUCAGGCACCCGUGGAGGGUUUGAGCGCCACCCUGGCCCUCUUCCUUCCUUCCCUCCUUCCUUCCUUCCUUCCUUCCUUCCUUCCUUCUUUUUCUUUCUUUCUCUCUCUUCUUUCUUUCUUUUUCUUUCUUUCUUUCUUUCUUUCUUUCUUUUUCUUUCUUUCUUUCUUUCUUUCUCCCUUCCUUCCUUCCUUCCUUCCUUCCUUCCUUCCUUCCUUCCUUCCUCCCGUCCUUCCUUCCUUCCUUUUUCUUCCUUUCUUUCUUCUUCUUUCUCUUCCUUACUUUUACUGCCACAACCGUGGCAUAUGGAAGUUCCCAGGCCAGGAGUUGAAUCAGAGCUGCAUCUGGUGCCUACACCACAGCCACAGCAACACCAGAUCUGAGCUGCAUCUUCGACCCACAGUGUAGCUCACGGCAAAGCCAGAUCCUUAACACACUGAGUGAGGCCAGGGAUCGAACCCACAUCCUCAUGGACACUAUUUCGGGUUCUUAACCCACCAAGCCACUAUGGGAACUCCUCUUUCCCCUUCUUAAUAAGGUGUCAAAUCCCCUGAAGUCAUUAAGAACAGAAGGGAACCACCCCCGCCCCCCGCCAGCCUCCCUCCUCUGUAGUCAGUGGCAGUUGCUCUAUAACUGCACGCUCGCAGUGCAACUCUGUCCCCCUGUACAAGGCUUCCUUCUCACCCAAAGCCGGCCACUGGUGCACAGACACUGCCAUCCUUGGGGUCACAAGAGGGAUGGAUGUCUUGUCUUUCGAGUCUGGGGCAGCUGCUACCCACAGCCUCCGCAGAGCUGGCCCGGCCCUGCCCCUCCAUGGGUGCCCCUUCCUC